UUAUAAGUGGAUUUAAAUUAUUGUUUCAGACUGAGUUUAAAUAAACACCUUCUUAUUAAUAAGUGUCUCAGCGAGAGUCUGAAAUAUGGAAGCCAAGCGAGUCAAGAGGGAUGUUAAAACCUUGCUUGGUGAAUAUAUUGGACGACGAUUCAGAGAAGAUAGUUUUGAUCCAAAGGGGAAAAGCACUUCUACUAUGUUGGAUGAUUUGGCACAUUAUGACUUGGCUAUAAGUGUGGCUUUGUGGAGGCUCAAUAAAGAUGAAGGAUUGAAUACAGCUGAUAAUGAUAUAGGAAGUGCCAGUUUAGGACACUUUAGCCAGUAUCCCAAUCGCUUGGAAAGAGAAGCAAUGAUUCUUUCUUCCUUUGCUGGAAUGCUUCUGAACAACUUACCAUUAGAAGAUAUUCUGUUUCUGUACAAUUGCAAACCAUCUGCAUCUUACCCUCAUAAUGAUGCCAAGGGCAACAUCGUGCACCCGUUUUCCCUCUCUUAUCAUCCAUUCGCCAUGCUUAGUUCAUUCAAAGCAGUGGACUGCUCAAAAAAAACACAUCCAAGCUCUGAAACGCUGGAUCAAGGAACAGGAUAAGCAGCAGGUCUCUCCGGUGUCAGAAACAUCGAAGUCCUCCUCCAGGUCCUCUUCAAGCUCCUCAUUCAGUGACAGUGAAGAAUCUUUAAAAGAUGCAACUGCUCACUAUGAAGGCUCACAAGAAUCUCUGCAGGAUUGAA
ensembl:processed_transcript